rnacentral:rRNA from 1 species
CGACCGGCGCACGGGUGAGUAACGCGUAUCCAACCUGCCCACCACUCGGGAUAACCUUGCGAAAGUAAGACUAAUACCCAAUGAUAUCUCUAGAAGACAUCUGAAAGAGAUUAAAGAUUUAUCGGUGAUGGAUGGGGAUGCGUCUGAUUAGCUUGUUGGCGGGGUAACGGCCCACCAAGGCGACGAUCAGUAGGGGUUCUGAGAGGAAGGUCCCCCACAUUGGAACUGAGACACGGUCCAA